UUCAUGUACAGCAGAAACCUUACAAAUAGAGUUUGUAGUAUAAGUAUAUCUAAAGCACCAUAACAUUUAUUGUGCCUUUUCUCAAUAAUAAUGAAGGGUAAAUGGUUGUAUCUCUCCUCAGUGUGCAGAGGUUGAGAAGAAACGUAUGCAGAGCUGCAUCCACUUUAUGAAUCUGAAAAAGCUCAAUCGACUUGCUCAUAUGCGUCUAAAGAAAGGCAGAGACCAAACACACGAGGCAAAACAGAAAGUCGAUGUGCUGCACCUUCAGCUGCAAAAUCUGCUGUAUGAAGUCAUGCAUCUUCAGAAGGAGAUCAGCAAGUGUCUGGAGUUUAA